rnacentral:rRNA from 1 species
UGAGGAAUAUUGGACAAUGGGCGCAAGCCUGAUCCAGCCAUGCCGCGUGCAGGAAGAAGCAUCUAUGGUGUGUAAACUGCUUUUGUACGGGAAGAAACACCCCUUCGUGAAGUAGCUUGACGGUACCGUCAGAAUAAGGAUCGGCUAACUCCGUGCCAGCAGCCGCGGUCAUACGGAGGAUCCAAGCGUUAUCCGGAGUCAUUGGGUUUAAAGGGUCCGUAGGCGGUUUAGUAAGUCAGUGGUGAAAGCCCAUCGCUCAACGAUGGAACGGCCAUUGAUACUACUAGACUUGAAUUAUUAGGAAGUAGCUAGAAUAUGUAGUGUAGCGGUGAAAUACUUAGAUAUUACAUGGAAUACGAAGUGCGAAGGCAGGUUACUACUAAUGGAUUGACGCUGAUGGACGAGAGCGUGGUGAGCGAAAA